rnacentral:rRNA from 1 species
AUUGAACGCUGGCGGCAUGCCUUACACAUGCAAGUCGAACGGCAGCGGACCUUCGGGUGCCGGCGAGUGGCGAACGGGUGAGUAAUAUAUCGGAACGUACCUUUCAGUGGGGGAUAACGUAGCGAAAGUUACGCUAAUACCGCAUAUUCUGUGAGCAGGAAAGCAGGGGAUCGCAAGACCUUGCGCUGAUUGAGCGGCCGAUAUCAGAUUAGCUAGUUGGUGAGGUAAAGGCUCACCAAGGCGACGAUCUGUAGCGGGUCUGAGAGGAUGAUCCGCCACACUGGAACUGAGACACGGUCCAGACUCCUACGGGAGGCAGCAGUGGGGAAUUUUGGACAAUGGGCGCAAGCCUGAUCCAGCCAUGCCGCGUGAGUGAAGAAGGCCUGGUUGUAAGG